GUGUCCAUCAGCUUUAGUAUCGCCUUCGGCGUUGCUUUCUCGGCACCCCCAAGGCGAUUUACGCACUCGACAAACUUCUCAUGAAGAUCUUGAUUCCAUCGUAUUCGAGUCUUGCUUGAAAUCACAGCUCCAGUUGCCUCUGUUUUACCAGAACAUGCAGAAGCACCUGCAGAAGAAAAUCUUGGAGACUGUAUCUCUUGUCGAGAAGAAAAUCCCAGCUGUGAAAAUGGAGAAGUACAUGGAUUACUACCAACUCUAUGAUCCUGAUCUCCUUGGUAAGGAAUUGAAAAUUGACUUCCUAUGGAGGCAGCUCCAUUAUUUAACAGUUUAUUCCUUUCAAACAGAUGUCGCUUGUUCCCAGAAGAACUGCUGCAAGGACCUUUAUAAGACUUGUAAUAAUGAUCAUCAGAGAAAUGGGAUUUCACAAUUGGCUGCAAAUUGCUUCUCAAAUCCAAGUUGUGAUCAGCUUGCUCUCCUGAAUCAAUAGCAAAGCUUUCCCUUGAAGAUUGUUGCGAAGGAAGUUGUGAAUCAUAGGGCUUGGAGUAUGGGAAGCACCAAGGAGGAGCAUCAACUUGACAGUCAUACUGUGGAAACCCCAUAUAUCUUUCUGUUGCAUAAAAAGCUGAAGCCGGUGAUUCGAAGCGGCUCAUAAUGCUGGAUGAUGACUUAUCAGGCCUAUGAUUUUGCUGUUGCAGUCCUGCCUCCAUAACAGGUUGCUGCAUACGAAUUCCCAUGUUCCAACUCUGUUGGUUACCAAAACAUUGUGAGGAUUGAAGAGCAAAGUCACCAAUCGGUCCAUGAUUUUGUCUAAUUCGUUCUUGGCAAUCCAUCUUUGAAGUGUUCAUUUACAAACAAUCCAAGUAUGAAAGCUAGUAAAAAAGAAAAGACAAAAGGUGAUUGAUUUCUGUUCAAUUCUCUUUGCCAGUGCCAAACAGUGUAUCAGAAUUCAUUCUACUGUGAAUUACUUAAAGAGAAGAAGCCACGCAAAAUACGCGAAAAAUCAAGAAAGAAAACCAGAAAAGAAAGGUGCAGAAUAG
rnacentral:misc_RNA from 1 species